CUACGGGGGGCUGCAGUGGGGAAUAUUGGACAAUGGGCGCAAGCCUGAUCCAGCAAUGCCGCGUGUGUGAAGAAGGCCUGCGGGUUGUAAAGCACUUUAAGCAGGAAAGAAGGGGUGAAAGUUAAUACCUUUCAUCAUUGACGUUACCUGCAGAAUAAGCACCGGCUAACUCCGUGCCAGCAGCCGCGGUAAUACGGAGGGGGCGAGCGUUAAUCGGAAGUACUGGGCGUCGGUUUGAUCAAGGCGGUGUGAAAGCCCUGGGCUUAACCUGGGAACUGCGGUGGAUACUGUCGGGCUAGAGUGUGGUAGAGGGGAGUGGAAUUUCCGGUGUAGCAGUGAAAUGCGUAGAGAUCGGAAGGAACACCAGUGGCGAAGGCGGCUCCCUGGACUAACACUGACGCUGAGGUGCGAAAGCGUGGGGAGCAAACAGGAUUAGAUACCCCUGUAGUC
rnacentral:rRNA from 1 species